CCGGGGUGGCGCGCGUCGGCUCCGGCGCGGCUCCCACCGGCGCAGCCCCCGGCCCCUGCCCCGGAGAGGCGCGCACCAACCUUGGGGGGCAGCUUGGCCGCCUAGCCCCGGCUUAGGCGGAGGCGGGAGGUGGCGGCAUCACCUGCGGCGUGCGGCGGCUGCUCCCGGACGUGCCGGGGCGGCGGAGGCGCGCGGCGCACAGGACCCUGCUUCCGCGGCCCCGCCCGCGGCUGCCACCUCGAAGCGCGGCGGAGGAGCCGGGGCACCACGGGCGGCGGCAGCGGCGGCGACGGGAGCAGCAGCACAUGACUCUGUAACGGGGGGAAUUAAACAAAGCGUAACAUGGACUCCGGGCCCGUGCAGGCGCUGCAGCUCCGGGACCAACCGCAGCCAGCGAGCGCCGCGACUGGCUCGGCCGCAGCCAAUGGGGCGGGCUUGGGCCUCCAUGUGAUGGCGAGCUCUCUCCCCCGCCGGCUCUCCCGCGUCUGCCGGAGGUCCGGGCGCUUCCGCCGCCGGGCGUGCUGGCCGGAGGGGCGGCGUAGCGACUUCGGUGGCCCGGGGUCUGACGCUGGCGGCGGGAGGCUGCUGGACUGCGCGCAGGUGCAGCCGGCGGGGAGGGGCAGCCGCCGUAGCUCGCAGUCGCCCCAUCGCUCAGCUGAAGAACGCCCACCUGGACAGGGCGCGGGGCCCGGCGGCCAGUGUCGCCAGGCUGGCGCGAGGCCACCUCAGGAACCUUCAUCCCCCCUGGGGCUAUCCUGUCAACUCAAGCUCUGAUAGUGUAUUUCCCAAGCAUGAACCCCGAAAGCCUUCUGCAUGCAAUUCUUCAUCUCAAAUUUGUUUCCAAGGAACCCAAGGCGCCUCAACAAUAUCUCCUGCUCCACAUAUGCUUCUUACAAUGUGACAUGGACACUCCUCCUGUUGAAAAGUGGGGUUCUGUGUCCCCGCUCCUCUGCCCCUGAACUGGACAAGAUUUACAGUUAUUUCAACCAAUGGCAGAAGUGAUAUCAUAAAAUGUGAGGCACUACGCUUUCUGCCUGUUGGAAUAGUCGCCUCAGAGCCCUAAGCUAUCAUCUAAGAUCUCUGACUACCCUGAAGCUGACAUCCUGUGAGGAAGCCCAGGCUGUAUGGAGAGGCCCAGCUGAGGUUCCAGCCAACAGCCAGAAUCAAAUGCCAGACGUGGGAGUGAAGAUGUCUCCAGAAGAUUCUAGCUUCCAGUCACCGAGUCUUCCCAACUGAGGUCCCAGACAUCAUGGAGCAGAGAUAAGCUGCCUUUGCUGUGCCCUUUCCGAAUUCCCUAUCCACAGAAUCUGGGAGUGUAGUAAAAUAAUUGUUUCACCCUAUUACGUUUUGGGGUGGUUUGUUACAAGGCAAUAGUAAUUGGUACAGUUAUGAAACCAGGAGCCCUAUGUGGUCCCCGAGUCCUCCUGAGAUACUUUGUGGAAGAGUUAGAGCUUCUUGGAAUACUAUUUGAAAACCUCUGGACUAACCAAGGGCUCCAAAUUCCGUGUUUCUAAGAAACCUGGAAUUUAAUAGCUUUAUCAAGAAAGAGAAUUGUCUUGCUCAGUGUUAUGAACUGAAUUGU